rnacentral:rRNA from 1 species
UAGGGAAUAUUGGACAAUGGGGGCAACCCUGAUCCAGCCAUGCCGCGUGAGUGAAGAAGGCCCUCGGGUUGUAAAGCUCUUUUGUCCGGAAAGAAAAGCUUCGGGUUAAUACCCCGGGGUUCUGACGGUACCGGAAGAAGAAGCCCCGGCUAACUCCGUGCCAGCAGCCGCGGUAAUACGGAGGGGGCUAGCGUUGUUCGGAAUUACUGGGCGUAAAGCGUACGUAGGCGGAUGCGCAAGUUGGGGGUGAAAUCCCGGGGCUUAACCUCGGAACUGGGCGGAAAACUGCGCGUCUUAAGACCGAGGGAGGUAAGUGAAAUUCCUGGUGUAGAGGUGAAAUUCGUGGAUAUUAGGAAGAACACCAGUGGGGAGGGCGCCUUACUGGCUCGGUACUGACGCUGAGGUAGGAAAGCGUGGG